GUCAUCCAUUUACAAUUUCCAAUGGAAAAAUGUGUGGGUUGUCACCAUUAUGCCUGCACGAUUUCAGACAAAUUAAAGGCUUGCCUCAGUAAUUACUGGGUGGGUACACAGAGAAACAUACAUCCAUGUGUACAGAUCCUGAAUACAGUAGUGUAAGUUAAUGCAGAAAGCUUACAGCCAGUUGCUUUUCUGAGGCUUAGUGUUGGUUUGCCGUAUGGGAUUAGAAAAAGAGGGAUGUUUUCAGGGAUCAGAGGGAAGACUUUUCGGGAACAAAUUUAUGAGACUAACAACUCUUUGUUGAACCCCACCAGAAGAACAAAGCUUAGAUAAAGAUCCUUUUUUUUUUUUUAGUUCUCCUUGUAAAGAUUUGGAAACGCAACAUACAAGACGAGUGCCUUGCCUGUAAUGGCAAAAAUAGCAUCAUCCUUAACCAUUUUAGCGGCAGGAGAACUGGCAGAGGACUGGGUUGAGACACAGCUGCAAUAGCAAAACUGGAGCUCAGCUAAUGGGGAAGGAGAAAGGCAAAGAAAAAAGCCAGGAUGUCCCGGGAUGAAAUCUUCUUUGGGGCCUCUAAAGUGACUCACUGGCCCUGUUGUCAACACAACUUAAGUGAGGUCUUUACACAGGGGAAGACUGAGAGAUCCACACCACUGACGCAUCUGUCCCCAAGGAACCUUCAAAUGCCCCCUCAGGGAUGGCUGGUCCUGCCCAGCCAAAACCAGGGAGAGAUUUCCAGAGGCCUCACACCUGAGAGCCACGUGAUCAGGAUUCCUCCAAUCAAAAGAAAGCGAGAGCUUCUGUGCUGAUUGCUGUGGUGGGCAGAACCUUCUGGCGAGAAUGUUUUAGGGUCCUUACUUGGGAACCCUGCUGAGUGGAGGCUGGGGCCACCUUCUCCAUGUCUCAGGAAAAAUGCCGCCACUGAGCCAUUCUUGAGCACUCCCUCCUGCUGUUACAGGAUAUUAUAAAGAGAAAAAAAGGAGGCAAGCAGGGAUCCAGUUCUGGAAGAUGAAGGCUGGUUCCCAGCACUCACCAGCAGCAAAGGCAGAACACUGAAGCUUAAGACAAAAGUGCAGACUCACCUUUCGUUCUCUCCUCUCCAGUAUCUCCACACUGCGCCGCUCCAGUCAGCCACCUGACUCACCGCUCCUCUCCAGCCUCUCUGCCACCCAGCUGGUCAUCUUGUAGCCAAUUGCCGUUCUUUGGGCCAAUCUUUUUUUAAAAAUGCUCUUCAAACAUUUUAUUGACAUAAAACAUACAUUCAGAAGAAUGCACACGUGUCAUAAGUGUGCAGAACAACGAAUUUUCACGAAGUGAACACACCCAUGUAACCAACACCCAGGACCAAGGUCAAAAAAUAGAACAUAAGUUUCACAAGAGAGCUCUCUGGGGUGAUAGAGAUGUUUUGUAUCUCGAUUAUGGUUGUGGCUACACAACUGUAUGCAUAGGUCAAAACUCAUUGAAUUGUGCACUUAAAAAAAUUGAAUUUCAGGGGCUGGCCCUGUGGACGAGUGGUUAAGUUCGCGCGCUCCACUGCAGGCGGCCCAGCGUUUCGUUAGUUCGAAUCCUGGGCGCGGACAUGGCACUGCUCAUCAGACCACACUGAGGCAGCGUCCCACAUGCCACAACUAGAAGAACCCACAAUGAAGAAUACACAACUAUGUACCAGGGGGCUUUGGGGAGAAAAAGGAAAAAAUAAAAUCUUUAAAAAAAAAAAAUGAAUUUCAUUGUAUGUAAAUUUUACCUUUAUACAAAAUGAAGAAAUAAAACAGAGCCCCCUUCCAAUCAGUACCCACUUCCUGCCAAACCAAUAUCACGACUUCUACACCAGACUGGGUUUGCUGGAUUUUGAACUUCAAGUAAGUGGAAUCACACAGCAUAUGCUCCUUGAGGUCUGACAUCUUUUGCUCAACAUCAUGUUGUGAGAUUCUUCCAUAUUGCUGCUUGCACGUGUGGUUCAUUCAUUCUCGUUGCUAUCCAGAACUGCACAUUUCUAUUUAACCGCCUACGAUGGGUAGGCAUUUGCGUGGCUGUCAAUUUGGAGUGUUUACAAAUAGUGCUGCUAUGAAUAUCCAGGGGGUGCCUUUUGGUGCUUGUACACACAACAUUUCUAUUGAGAGUGAAAUUAGCAGGUGACAGGGCAUGCACAGUGUUAGUAGCUACUGCACAAGAGUUUUCCUAAGUGGUUAUAUUGGUUGACUCUCUGUCCAGGAGUGUUUUUGAAGGUUCUAGUUGUUUGACCAAUCUUGGUUCUACUCCCUUCACAAAGCCCUCCCUGGCCGUUCCGUUCUUGGAUCUCUUUCUUCUUUAUGUUUCAGUCUAGAGGUAUGUACUGAGGACUAAUCAUGUGCCUGUCACCAUUCACCAUGCUAGGUACUGGACACACAAAAGGGAGCAGACAGGAACCCUGUCAUAAAUGAAUGAUUCAGUGGGGGUGAGUAACUCAGAUGACUAUAAUACAGUGUGAUAGGCGCAAUAGGACCAGAUGAAGGCAUGAUUAAUUACAGCGGUUGUAAUUAAUAAGGUAGAGUUCCACAUUUUAUUUAGGAAAACAAGUCUGAUAAUACCAAGUGUUGGCACAACAGUGAGAAAACAGAAACUCUUUAUCACCACUCCUUGUAAACUGGAGAAUAAUUUGACUACACCUAAUAAAGUUGAAGCUGUCACAUAGCAGAAGGCACCGGUUUCACUCCUGAGGGUCUUUUUUGUAUUAUCAAAAAUUGGAAAUAACUUAAAUUGUCCACCAACAGAGGAAUGCACCAAUAAACCAUGUUAUAUUCAUAAGAUAGAAUACUAUCCAGCUGUUAAAAUAAAUUAUCUACAGCUAUGCAUAUUGUGACAGAUGUGUCAUGAAAAUAUAAUGCGUAAAAAAGCAAAUUGCAAAUGGAUAUGUAAAGUAUUAUCCAAUUUCAGUAAUUUACAAACUCACAAAACAAUACUGUAUUAUGUCUGGAUGCUGAGAGAGGUAAUAAAAGUUCUGAAUUAUGCAUAGGAAGGCUAACCACCAACUUUAAGAUAAUAGUUACCUCUGGGGAUGGCUAACUGUGAGUGGGAGAAGGAGAGAAACUUCAGAGGUAAUAUUUUAUUUCUUUUUUUAAAAAAGAAGCCUAAAAAUAUAUAUACGGCAAAAUGUUAAUACUGGUUAAAUCUGAGUAUUGGAUAAUGUACAAUUGUUACAUUAUUUUCUGUAUAUUUUAAACUAAGCACUAAAAAUAAGCAAAACUGAGAAGGAAAAAUAAAUGAUGUCCUGAGGUUAGAAGUCAUCCUACAAGGUCGUGCUUCUACCUCCCCUUGGCACAUGAGUCCACACACAGGAGGAGGUGGCCAGCUGUGGUUGGUUGACAAUAGUUAAUACAGAUGUUGGGACAUCUGUGUUCACCUGCUCCCAGACAGUGAAGCUGCUCCUACCAGCGGUGUUGGUUUCUCCCAGAGAAGCACCCACUGCCUCUGCCGACUUCUCCCUUCCUCUCUCACAUGCACAGUCUGGGAUAAACAGAGC
ensembl:lncRNA